rnacentral:rRNA from 1 species
ACGGGAGGCAGCAGCUAAGAAUAUUCCGCAAUGGACGGAAGUCUGACGGAGCGACGCCGCGUGGGCGAUGGAGGCCGGAAGGUUGUAAAGCCCUUUUGCUGUUGAAGAAGGAACUAAUCAGGGAAUGGGUUAGAGGUGACGGUAGGCAGUGAAUAAGCAUCGGCUAAUUACGUGCCAGCAGCCGCGGUAACACGUAAGAUGCUAGCGUUGUUCGGAAUUAUUGGGCGUAAAGGGCAUGUAGGCGGUUUAGCAAGCCUCGUGUGAAAAUGCACGGCUUAACUGUGUAUUGCGCGGGGAACUGUUAGGCUAGGAUUGUUGAAGGGUAGUCGGAAUUCCGAGUGUAGGGGUGAAAUCUGUAGAUAUUCGGAAGAACACCAAUGGCGAAGGCAGGCUACCGGUGGGCGAUCGACGCUGAGAUGCGAAGGUGCGGGGAGCGAACAGGAUUAGAUACCCUGGUA